rnacentral:rRNA from 1 species
AUUGAACGCUGGCGGCAUGCCUUACACAUGCAAGUCGAACGGCAGCAUGAUCUAGCUUGCUAGAUUGAUGGCGAGUGGCGAACGGGUGAGUAAUACAUCGGAACGUGCCCUGUAGUGGGGGAUAACUAGUCGAAAGAUUAGCUAAUACCGCAUACGACCUGAGGGCGAAAGUGGGGGACCGCAAGGCCUCAUGCUAUAGGAGCGGCCGAUGUCUGAUUAGCUAGUUGGUGAGGUAAAGGCUCACCAAGGCGACGAUCAGUAGCUGGUCUGAGAGGACGAUCAGCCACACUGGGACUGAGACACGGCCCAGACUCCUACGGGAGGCAGCAGUGGGGAAUUUUGGACAAUGGGGGCAACCCUGAUCCAGCAAUGCCGCGUGUGUGAAGAAGGCCUUCGGGUUGUAAAGCACUUUUGUCCGGAAAGAAAUCGCACUUACUAAUAUUAGGUGUGGAUGACGGUACCGGAAGAGUAAGGACCGGCUAACUACGUGCCAGCCGCCGCCGUAAGAC